AUGCGAGCGUUWUCCGGGAUUUAUUGGGUUUAAAGGGUGCGUAGGCGGACGAAUAAGUCAGUGGUGAAAACCUGCAGCUUAACUGUAGACUGCCGUUGAUACUGUUUGUCUUGAGUAUGGUCGAGGUAGGCGGAAUGUGUAAUGUAGCGGUGAAAUGCUUAGAUAUUACACAGAACACCGAUUGCGAAGGCAGCUUGCUGGGGCCAUUACUGACGCUGAUGCACGAAAGCGUGGGGAUCGAACAGGAUUAGAUACCCUGGUAGUCCACGCCGUAAACGAUGAUCACUCGCUGUUAGCGAUACACAGUUAGCGGCUAAGCAAAAGCAUUAAGUGAUCCACCUGGGGAGUACGGCCGCAAGGCUGAAACUCAAAGGAAUUGACGGGGGCCCGCACAAGCGGAGGAACAUGUGGUUUAAUUCGAUGAUACGCGAGGAACCUUACCUGGGCUUAAAUGUAGAGUGCAUUCGGCUGAAAGGCUGAUUUUCUUCGGAACUCUUUGCAAGGUGCUGCAUGGUUGUCGUCAGCUCGUGCCGUGAGGUGUCGGGUUAAGUCCCAUAACGAGCGCAACCCUUAUCGUUAGUUGCCAGCGGGUAAUGCCGGGAACUCUAACGAAACUGCCGGUGUAAACCGUGAGGAAGGUGGGGAUGACGUCAGAUCAGCACGGCCCUUAUGUCCAGGGCUACACACGUGUUACAAUGGCCGGUACAGAGGGCAGCUACCUGGAGACAGGAUGCGAAUCUCGAAAGCCGGUCUCAGUUCGGAUCGGAGUCUGCAACUCGACUCCGUGAAGCUGGAUUCGCUAGUAAUCGCGCAUCAGCCAUGGCGCGGUGAAUACGUUCCCGGGCCUUGUACACACCGCCCGUCAAGCCAUGGAAGUUGGGGGUACCUGAAGUCCGUAACCGCAAGGAGCGGCCUAGGGUAAAACCAGUGACUGGGGCUAAGUCGUAACAAGGUAGCCGUA
rnacentral:rRNA from 1 species